UAGCAAUUCGUGCACAAGGUCACGUACCAUCGACGCGCCGGCUUUGCGCAUCUCUUGCUUUCUUAUCGUUGCGUCGUUGCUGCUUUGGUUACGGCGUAUGCUGUCGGUGGUUUGCAGCCAGUUUCGUGCCGGCCGGUGUUUGAUCCAGACGUGUGUUGAUACGAGUCGGGUAUUGUUUGUUCUUCUGCUUUCUAAAUUUACAUUGUAUUCGAUCAUCAAUCGACUAUUUAAUUGUCAGUGGCGGAUUACGGCCUAGGCGCACUAGGCGCGCGCCUAGGGCCCCGGCUGCCUGGGGGGCCCCGGCUGCCUGAGGGGCCCCGGCUGCCUGAGGGGCCCCUGGCACUUAUAUGUCCCAUAUAGACAUAGUAAUUCCACAAAUACUUCAUCACUUGGUUUUGACCUCAGCCUUUAUGAAUAGCGUAUUGGUUUUCACUUGGCGCCCAAAACGGCAUUUCACACGUGUUCGCAAAGCAACCGUCACGGAUAUAUAGCUGACUUAAAACUUUUUAUCUCCGAUUUUAUUUCUUUAUGGCAAACUGUUUAAAAUAAAAUUUGGAUGUUUUCUGCCACGAAUUUUUGUGACCUUUUCUUGAAUAUUUCGUUAGAAAGUUGUAGCUAUAAUGCGAGUAGUAUAUUGCCAAUUUUUUUAAAUUUCGAACAUCUGUGGAGGAGAUGAGUUGAGGAAUAUUCCAUUGAGGUUGUAAAAUAGCGGGUAACUCUCUUUUUUUGAAUAUUAAUUAUUUCGUCUUUCUAUCAUUUUUUCACAUCUACGGAACACGUUGAACCGACGUUUAUCCUCCUACAAUUUUUAUCUGGAUUUUUGGGGUGGUAGUUGGAUUAAAAAAAAAACAGAGAGUGGUCAGUGAGUCGUUAGAAGAAAUUGUACUUAGAAAGUUACAUGACUAUGGCUUAGAUAUCACAAACUGUAGGGGCCAAUCUUAUGAUAACGGUGCUAACAUGUCUGGCAAGUACAGUGGAUUACAGGCACGCAUAAAACAACAUUCCAAAUCAGCUGCAUUCAUACCAUGUGGAAGUCAUUCUUUAAAUUUGGCUGGGCAUACUGCAGCGGAAUCUUGUUCUGGAGCAUUACAGUAUUUUAUGUUUUUGCAAAAUAUAUAACUUUCUUUGCUGCAUCUACAAGACGGUGGAAUAUUUUAACUGAAUGCAUGAAGGAUAAGAAUUCUAAAAGUAUCAAGAGAAUAAUUGAUACACGAUGGUCCGCAAGAGCUGACGCUGUUUUAGCCCUAAGACUCAAUUAUCAAUGAAAAAAAAUGAAAAACAAAUUUUUUUAUUAUCAACAUUUUUUAUAUUGUAUGUGAUGUAUUAACAUCAGAAAUUACUCGAAGGGGCGAUGUCUAUAUCAAUGUUCGUAACGAUUUUAAAAUUUUCUUUGAUUUAAAAUUAAGCCGUGUUGAGACUAAUAAUUGUGUAGAGCGAUUAUUGUCUAAGUAUGAAAAAGAUAUUGAGCCAGAAUAUUUCACUGAUGAGUUAACUCAUUUUCUAAAAUUCAUACAAGAAGAAAAUAUUAGAGAUCCACAUGAAAUGUAUGCAACAUUAAGCAAUGGUCUAAAAUCACAAACGAAUGUUGAAGUAGACUUUGCGGCGCCCGUACGCUAAAACUAUUAAUUUUUCUGGGCUAAUAACCGUUUUUGAAAAUUUUCGGAUUUAGGGGCCCCAAACUUGAUUUGCGCCUAGGGCCCCACUGAAGCAUAAUCCGCCACUGUUAAUUGUUACUACUAUAGUAAUGUAGUAAUAAUUAUAAAAGCGGUAGAUAUUUGAUCGCGGCCCGUGUGCACACUUAUGCAACUUACAUGGUUCGGUGUCGGUCGCUAAAUGAAUUGGACAUAGCAUCAUCAUUACCUUCGCAACUCGCUGUGCCCUGGCGACUGAUGCGCACAACAAUUCUAACUGUCUUUAAUUGGCCGCCAACAUUUGCCCUUUUUUCAAAAUUUUCAAAACUUUCGGUGGAACAAGGGUCAUAUCUCGCAAACCCUUCGUGAGGUUUGUAUUUUUUCUUCGGAUACUAGUUGCGCACGAACAGCUUGAGACGAGACACCUUCUUCAGCCGCGUGGAAUCCAACACAUGUGAUUCCCGAGUGUUGUCGUUGAAAUCCCUUCACGCCGCAUGCAGCAAAUUCUAGUUUUGUUUAGACCGCGGGUAUCGUACCUAUUGCAAUUCGCGCACACGGUCGCGAACCAUCGACGCGUCGACUUUGCGCAUCUCUUGCUUUCUUAUCGUAAACUGUCGCGUUGUUGCUUGUUUGGCUACGGCAUGUGUUAUCAAUGGUUUGCAGUCAGUUUCGUGGCGGGUGCUGUUUGAUCCAAACGUGUUUUGAGCGACUCGUAUUGUUUGAUCGGACUUCUGUUUUCUAAAUUUACAUUAUAUUCGACUAUCAAUCGACUAUUUAACUACUAUAGUAUUGUUGUUUAAUAUUUGAGCGUUUAAUUUACAUUGUACAAAUUCGCGAAAUUCGGUCGUAACUGCCUCAAAAUGGCCGCCAGAAUUUGCCCUUUUCUUGCAUUUUUUAAAACACGCGGUUAAAAUAGGCCAUAUCUCGCGAACCCUUUAUUAUAUUUUAGUUCUUUCUUUGUUUAAUGAUAGGGCAAGAAUGCAUUUUUAAAAUGCACCCCUGAAGCCCCGCGAAAUUCAGUCGUAACUGCCUUAAAAUGGCUGCGAAAAUUUGCCCUUUUCUUGCAUUUUUUAAAACACACGGUGGAAAACAGGCCAUAUCUUGGGAACCCUUUGUAAUAUUUUAGUUUUUUUCUUUAUUUAAUGAUAUGGUAAGAGUGCAUUUUUAAGAUGCAUCUUUGAACACCCGCAAAAUUUUGUCGUAAUUGCCUCAAAACGGCCGCCAAAAUUUGCCCUUUUCUUGCAUUUUUCAAAACACUCGGUGGAAAACAGGUCAUAUCUCGGAAACCCUUCGUCGGAUUUUAGUUUUUUUAUAUUUAAUGAUAGGGCAAGAGUGAAUUUUUAAGAUGCACCUUUGAACAUCCGCGAAAUUCGGUCGUAAUUGCCUCAAAAUGGCCGCCAAAGUUUGCUCUUUUCUUGCAAUUUUCCAAACACGUGGUGGUAAACAGGCCAUAUCUCGGAGACCCUUUGUCAUAUUUUAGUUUUUUCUUCAUUUAAUGACCGAGCAAGAAUGCAUUUUUAGGGUGCAGCCUUGAAUUCUCGCGAAAUUCGGUCGUAACUGCCUCAAAAUGGCCGCGAAAAUAUGCCCUUUUCUUGCAUUUUUAAAACACACGGUGGAAAACAGGCCAUAUCUCGGGAUCCCUUUGUCAUAUUUUAGUUUUUUCUUUAUUUAAUGACAGGAAAAGAGAGCAUUUUUAAGGUGCACCAUUGAAUUUACGCGAAAUUCGGUCGUAACUGCCUCAAAAUGGCCGCCAAAGUUUGCCCUUUUCUUGCAUUUUUCAAAACACACGGUGGAAAACAGGUCAUACCUCGGGAACCCUUCGUUGUAUAUAGAAUCCAAGUGAUUUUUGCCGAAUGAUUUGAAGUUUUUUAAUGCGAUUUUGCACGCAGAAUUCCUGUUUUGCUUAUCUGUAUACUAUAUACUAUUGCGUGUUGUCGUGUGCCGCAGUUUUGUGUCGGUCGUUGGUUGGGUCGGACGUGUUUCUCGCGGUUGUUAUCGUUUAUUUUUUAGUUUGUUAUUCGGUAAAUCGCGUUCAUUUCGAUCGUCCAUCGACUGUAUUUAGUUAUUAUUGACGUGUUUAGUGUUUUAUUAGUAGAUAAUCGUUAAUUUUCUUUGCGUUUGUUGUGUGAAUUGCUAUCAACUUGUUUACAUUUCGUGCUCGCGAAAUACAGAUAACAUGAACCUGCAACAUCUUGCAACGUUUGUUGUGAUAUUAUUUCGUUUAGUUACGGUAUAUCGGGGUUUGUCGUCGUGUUUGGUAUUUUGCCCCAGGAACAUGGACAAUGUUCUUCAUUGAAGCCGAGACAGAACGGUAGAGUGCAGAAGUUUCUAUUUUCCUUUUCUGAAAUUAUAGUCUCCGCUAUUGUUUUCGAAGUCUUAUUUAUACGCGUGCAUUUAAAUCUUUGCUUACGCUGGGUUAGAAUAAUAUCUUAUCUUGUAUUCAAAUGUGAUUUAAUUUUACUUCUUGGUGAAUUAAGCGCCAAAUAUUUGCCCGAGGAUCAUCUUUUGUCUACCAGCAGUGACGUCCGUCUUGUCCAUGUUCCAGCGACUUUCAGACACCGCGCAAAAAAAAGAAUUUGGAGCGUAAAACACCCACUUAGGCAUAUACGGUGAUAGAAAAUACAUCCGAGAAUCCUCUGCCACAAUAUCAACCAAAGGGACAUGUACCAGCCAGAACCGGAGUUGGGCGGUUGGGCGACCGCCCAGGGGCGCCGAACUUUAACGGGCGCCGACUCGCAUUUGGCCGGUUUUUUCGUAUGGGUUUGACUUGCAGAAAUCUCGCCCAGGGCGCUAGUAGUGCUAAAACCGGCACUGUCGUUGCGCAAGGAAUUGUAGUUUUUUUUAUUAUAACACGCGAACGCGGUCUUACUGCAAAUUCGGAAUAAUUAUCUUAGAUGCGGAAUUUAAUUCUGUAUCUCCCAGUAUCAAAAUUUAUUUAGAGAAAAUUCCGUAACACAAGUUAUAUUAAUAGUUGUGUAUAUACGCACUUAUACUCGUUGCGCUAGGAAUUGUAGUUUUUUUUUUAUUAUAACACGCGAACGCGGUUUUACUGUAAGUUCGGAAUAAUUUUCUUAGAUGUGGAAUUUAAUUUUGUAUCUCUUUGUAUCGAAAUAUGUUGCUAGAAAAUUCCGUAACGCGAGUUAUAUUGAUAGUUGUGAGUAUACGCACUUGUACUCGUUACGCUAGGAAUUGUAGUUUUUUUUAUUAUAACACGCGAACGCCGUCUUACUGUGAGUUUGGAAUAAUUUUCUUAGAUGUGGAAUUUAAUUCUAUAUCUCCCUGUAUCAAAAUUUAUUGCUAGAAAAUUCCGUAACGCGAGUUAUAUUGAUAGUUGUGUGUAUACGCACUUGUACUCGUUGCGGUUGAAAUUGUAGUUUUUUUUUAAUUAUAACACGCGAACGCGGUCUUACUGUAAGUUCGGAAUAAUUUUCUUAGAUGCGGAAUUUAAUUCUGUAUCUCCCUGUAUCGAAAUUUAUUGCGAGAAAAUUCCGUAACGCGAGUUAUAUUGAUAGUUGUGUGUAUACGCACUUAUACUCGUUGCGCUAAGUAUUGUAAGGUUAUCAAGAGUAUACAUUGUAUUGCAUUUAAUCGCUUCACGAUUGUUGUUGAAAACUGGCGGAGUUGCAGUAAUGCGGAUAAGGGUAUUUGCCAGUUGGCGCACUGUCUAGAUUUAAUUCGUCAAGAGGUCGUUUCUAGAGAAAUUGUCCAUGGGGUUGUUUAGUUUGUUGCAGAAGUCGCGUGUGUAACAUGUGUAAAUUUGGUUGUGCAGUGUGAUUUUUACUUGAAGGGUCAAAUUGUUUUUUUUUUCGCUUUUUUGGGAUAGAUCUUCCUAAUUUUUUUAGUCCUUUGUGUUAUCCUGUAGAAUCAUUAUUUCUAAUUGUUGCUCUCAAAGGCGUACUAUCGAAAGAAACGCAAUUCCAAUUGUAACGCAUUCGAAUAGUCCGUCGAUAAUGUUAUAAUAAUAUAAUUUUAUAAUUUAUGAUAAGAUUACAAUUAGUAUGAUUAGCACACGGGAAACCGGCAAGAAUGUCAUUUUUGUGUUUCAAUAUGCUAAUUCUUAUUGUAUUAGGAGUCUAGCAGGCGAACGAAAUGUUAUAGGAUUACGAUUCUUUUAUCAGAUUUUAAGUAUUAAAUUUGUUUAUCUUUUUCAUA